rnacentral:misc_RNA from 1 species
GAUGAAGAACGUAGCGAAAUGCGAUAAGUAAUGUGAAUUGCAGAAUUCAGUGAAUCAUCGAAUCUUUGAACGCACAUUGCGCCCAUUAGUAUUCUAGUGGGCAUGCCUGUUCGAGCGUCAUUAAUUCCACUUAAGCCCUGCUUAGUGUUGGGAAUCUACCCUAGUGGUGCUACCCUGGAGCUACCCCUGAAAGGGGGCUGGCCCGGUAGCUACCCUGUAGUUCCUCAAAGAUAGUGCGCGGAGUUGCGUGGUCCUCUGAGCUUAGUAACUAUACACCUAGCUUUUGAGUGUCCCGCGGCGCCUGCCGUUUAAACCCCAUCUUUUAAUGGUUGACCUCGGAUCAGGUAGGAAUACCCGCUGAACUUAAGCAUAUCAAUAAGCGGAGGA